rnacentral:rRNA from 1 species
AACAAACGCUGGCGGCGUGCCUAAUACAUGCAAGUCGAACGGGGAAAGCUUUCGGGUGAGUACUAGUGGCGCACGGGUGAGUAACGCGUGGAUAAUCUGCCUUAGAGUGGGGGAUAACUAGUCGAAAGAUUAGCUAAUACCGCAUAAGACCACAAGAACUGCGGUUCAAGGGGUCAAAGGUUUUUCGCUUUAAGAUGAGUCCGCGUAAGAUUAGCUAGUUGGUAGGGUAACGGCCUACAAAGGCGACGAUCUUUAACUGGUAUGAGAGGAUGAUCAGUCACAAUGGAACUGAGACACGGUCCAGACUACUACGGGAGGCAGCAGUAGGGAAUAUUGCACAAUGGAGGAAACUCUGAUGCAGCGACGCCGCGUGAGUGAUGAAGGCCUUCGGGUCGUAAAGCUCUGUCGCAGGGGAAUAACUCAAUGAUGGUACCCUGUAAGAAAGGAUCGGCUAACUUCGUGCCAGCAGCCGCCGUAACAC